rnacentral:rRNA from 1 species
CCUACGGGAGGCAGCAGUGGGGAAUCUUGCGCAAUGGCCGAGAGGCUGACGCAGCGACGCCGCGUGGGGGAUGAAGCAUUUCGGUGUGUAAACCCCUGUUGCUCGGGACGAACGACCCUUUUCGAGGGGUGUGACGGUACCGAGUGGGGAAGCACCGGCUAACUCCGUGCCAGCAGCCGCGGUAAUACGGAGGGUGCAAGCGUUGUCCGGAAUCACUGGGCGUAAAGGGCGCGUAGGUGGUUAGAUGCGCCGGUGGUGAAAGCGCAGGGCUCAACCCUGCGUCGGCCAUCGGGACGGUCUGACUGGAGCACUGUAGAGGCAGGUGGAAUUCCGGGUGUAGCGGUGGAAUGCGUAGAGAUCCGGAAGAACACCGGUGGCGAAGGCGGCCUGCUGGGCAGUUGCUGACACUGAGGCGCGACAGCGUGGGGAGCAAACAGGAUUAGAUACCCUGGUAGUCCACGCCGUAAACGAUGGGCACUAGGUGCUUGGGGGAGCGACCCCCUGAGUGCCGACGCUAACGCAUUAAGUGCCCCGCCUGGGGAGUACGACCGCAAGGUUGAAACUUACAGAAUUGACGG